GUGGUUGUGGCUCAGUGGUCGAGCACUUGCCUAGCAUGUGUGAGGCCCUGGGUUCAAUCUCCAGUACCACA
rnacentral:tRNA from 1 species